rnacentral:rRNA from 1 species
AGCGAACGCUGGCGGCAGGCCUAACACAUGCAAGUCGAACGGACCCUUCGGGGUUAGUGGCGGACGGGUGAGUAACACGUGGGAACGUGCCUUUAGGUUCGGAAUAGCUCCUGGUAACGGGUGGUAAUGCCGAAUGUGCCCUUCGGGGGAAAGAUUUAUCGCCUUUAGAGCGGCCCGCGUCUGAUUAGCUUGUUGGUGGGGUAAUGGCCCACCAAGGCUACGAUCAGUAGCUGGUCUGAGAGGAUGACCAGCCACAUUGGGACUGAGACACGGCCCAAACUCCUACGGGAGGCAGCAGUGGGGAAUCUUGCGCAAUGGGCGAAAGCCUGACGCAGCCAUGCCGCGUGUAUGAUGAAGGUCUUAGGAUUGUAAAAUACUUUCACCGGUGAAGAUAAUGACUGUAGCCGGAGAAGAAGCCCCGGCUAACUUCGUGCCAGCAGCCGCGGUAAUACGAAGGGGGCUAGCGUUGCUCGGAAUUACUGGGCGUAAAGGGAGCGUAGGCGGACAAUAAGUC